rnacentral:lncRNA from 1 species
UCAUCCUCAGACAUAGAGUCCGAUGGGCAAGAUUGCCUGGACCAGUAUCUUCCUCUCUGUUCUUUUACAGGAACACUGUUCAGCCAUAUUUCCUAUUCGUGGGAGGGAAAUGGACCACGUACAGGAUGCUGCACGUCAGAGUGAAACAGAAAGACCUUCCCGAAGAAAGUUUUGUCUACAAGAGAUGAGGCAGGGAGAUUGAUCUAAAUCACCUAUGCAACUAAUUUAACUAAACUUGGCAAUGAAGUCCCAAAGUUUUCCUUGUCAACACAUCAUCAUCGUGUAUACAUUAAACUGAAAUGUUUUAAGAUAUUUAAUUAUGUUUUACCUAAAGAAGAUGGGAAGCUUCCAUAUCCACUCCAGGAAUUCUAAGGAAAUACAAGUAGUUCAAAUUCCUUUAUUUAAUAUAAAAUGCCUGUCCCAUCAUGGUUUCAAUCUACCUCUUCAGCACAUUUUCUGAAUGUACCCUAAACUCCAACCAUUAAAAACUGGCAACCCUUCCUCAGAUGCGUUAUACUUUUUAAUGGCCUAGUGUCUUGAUGUUGCUGUUCUGGCUCUUGGGGGGUUGUUAUGUGAACUAUGGACACAUACAGGAAGAAAUGCUUAUGUGACCUGAGGAAUUAACACUAGGAACUGAUCUAAAUACCUUGCCAGGCACUUGACAUCAGUAGCAUCAUCUAAUCAUCCCAACAGACAUGUGG